rnacentral:tRNA from 1 species
AAUUAGAAAGCGAAUAAUCGCGUUUAGUUUCGACCUAAAUUUUGAGUAAACUCUCUAAUUU